rnacentral:tRNA from 1 species
UCCCUGGACUAAUGGUUAGGCCACAGUGCUCUCACCAUAGCAGCCAAGGUUCAAUUCCCGGCCAGGGAA